GUGUCAGCCGCCGCGGUAAUACGUAGGGUCCUAGCGUUAAUCGGAAUUACUGGGCGUAAAGCGUGCGCAGGCGGUUGUGCAAGACCGAUGUGAAAUCCCCGAGCUUAACUUGGGAAUUGCAUUGGUGACUGCACGGCUAGAGUGUGUCAGAGGGGGGUAGAAUUCCACGUGUAGCAGUGAAAUGCGUAGAGAUGUGGAGGAAUACCGAUGGCGAAGGCAGCCCCCUGGGAUAACACUGACGCUCAUGCACGAAAGCGUGGGGAGCAAACAGGAUUAGAUACCCGGGUAGUCC
rnacentral:rRNA from 1 species